rnacentral:rRNA from 1 species
UACGUAUGGGGCAAGCGUUAUCCGGAUUUACUGGGUGUAAAGGGAGCGUAGGCGGCGGGGCAAGCCCGAUGUGAAAGCCCGGGGCUCAACCCCGGGACUGCAUUGGGAACUGCCCUGCUGGAGUGCCGGAGGGGCAGGCGGAAUUCCUAGUGUAGCGGUGAAAUGCGUAGAUAUUAGGAGGAACACCAGUGGCGGAGGCGGCCUGCUGGACGGUGACUGACGCUGAGGCCCGAAAGCGUGGGUAUCGAACAGG